AUCACCUGGGAAUCUUGUUAAGAUGCAGAUUUAUGAUUAAGUCUGGGGUAGGGCCUGGAAUUCUGCAUUUCUAAGAAGUUCCCAGGAGAUGUCAAU
rnacentral:miRNA from 1 species